GUAGAUUUUGCUGUUUACAUAUAAUGACAUCUUUAAAAUAUGAAGCAGGAAAAUUCGCUUGGUUAAUUGGUAUUGCUUUCUUUCUAUCAGGUUGCUGGCUGGGUUGUUGUAUUGCGCCAUGUUUUAUCAAAAGUUGUAAAGAUGUUGUUCACGUAUGUCCAGAAUGUAGUCAAGUAAUUGGAAGAUAUCAAAAGCUGUAACCUGACAUGUUAUUAUGCAUCAAGGGAAAAUAGAUGAUACAGAAGUGUAUAUAAACAUAACAAUCGGCUAAACUAUAGAAUUAAAAUAUUUUUUAUCAGUGUAAAACAAAGAAGAUAUUGCUGGUUUAUUGUUUAAUUUUUCUCGAAGAAUAUUUUAUGGAUAUCUGUUUUUGCAAUAUUGUCGGAUUUGAAAAUAUUGCAACUUAUUAAUUAUGCGCAAUAGUUAUCAUUUCACGCGGUAUCAACGAGCAUUUUUUCAUGCAACAGCAAUCCAACGAUAUAAAUUCAAUAAUCUAGCUGUAGUGAGGGCUAAUACAAAUUCGAUGAAAAAAUCAUUCACAUAUAGCUCCUCAAUACUUUGGAAUAAACUACCAAAAUGACAUAAAACUAUGUGAAAAUCUUGGUACUUUUAAAAGAAAAUGUGUAGAAAUUUUAUGUAACAACUCUCUAAAUCUAUCAUGUCUUAAAUAUUUAACAGUAUUGCUUUGAACAACGAUUCCCUUUGGUAUAUGUACAAAAUGGGCACGUCACAUCAAGUUAUUCUGAAUUUUUACUGUUUUGAUGUUGUAGCACUUUGAAAAUUUCGUAAUACACAGGCCUACAGAUGGGUCAUAAACCUUAAUAUAUAAAACAUUUUUUACUACCUAUUAAGAACUUACCCUUUUCCCUGCUAUUGAUUUUUUUCCCUGUAAUAUAUUGACAUGAUUUGUACCGAUAUGAAUUAAGAAUUGACAUUUUACAGAUUUUUCAGUUCUGAAACAGUACUGGUAAAAAGGAAACAGUACGAAAAUAUCCAGCACGGAAGGAAAAAACCAGUACUGAAAUGAAAUAGCUCUGAAUAAGAUUUUUAUUCUUCUAAAAAAUAAUAUAAUCUAGAAAUUACAAAAAUGUAAUUAUAGGUAUCGGCAAUGAAGGAUUGGGCUAAUUGGUGUAACAUUUUGGCUAAAAAUGUGAUACGUUUGGGUCAAUAUCAAGUCAACUUUUGGGUUAAAUUUUAACGUCGACAUUUGGGCUAAUCCUGCCAUGUAAAGAUAAAUUAAUUCAUUUCAGUUUAGAUAUCUUUAUUUUGAUUUUAUGUUAAUAUUCGAUAUGUAAUAAAUGACAUUCUAAUGAUAA